AAGUGUACUUAAUAGAGUGUCAUGUUAAUUGUUGCAGAGUUAACCAAUUUCUCCAUUUAAUUGUCAAUUGAUUAACCUAUUGAAAUGGAGGAAGAAUUCCCUCUACGUAGUUCCGUCGCCUUUUAUCUGAAGGCUGCUCCACGCGACAGCGCGUUUUCAGGCUUUAUUCUUACAGAACCAUCCUAAAAACGCGCUUGUGCUCUACGAGGAAGAUUGCAACCUUCUCAAUUCCAAUACGGCGCUGUCAUUUAAUUACGAGACAAUCCACCACAACUGAGCAAGCAUUUUCAUCAUUGAUAAUGUUGGUAGCAGGCAACUGAGACAAAAUGAUUACAAACCUAUGUUGCGCUCAAUAGUCCUUUAGAGGAUUUCUCUCUUAAUAGCGCUGCCUCAUUCAUGUUUGGUUCAGUACAUUUGUUCUUUAAAAAAAGGCAUAGAUUAGAAGAGUUUCAGGGUAGGUUAAUAACUCAACUGAAAAUGGCUGCUCGCAUUGUCAAAGUCUGUUCCUGCAGUUGCCUGGUGCUUUCUUCAGUUCUUCCACACUGCAGCUUUGGCCCAGUUGGUAAACAGCUUAAGUCCAGACAUCUUUUCAUUCUCUGCGCAGCGGAUUGAAAUAAAAAUGCAUAUAAGUGGCGACUGACUGGCGCUGGCCUGACAAUAGCCUGUAACAUUAUGCAAGGGUAUUUACAUAGGAAUAAGGCCUUGGUAAAGAAGACAGGGGCAAUUAAUGACUAGGGCCACACAUAUAAGGAAAGUUUGUCCAAUCCUUUCUUCAAUAAAGAUCUUUUGUAAAGUGCUAUGGAAACUCAUGGAGGCCCCCAAACAGAUUAGGAGUGGGACUUUUGUGGUGUGUUUUUUUGUUGUGUGUGUUUUUUUGUUUUUUUUUUUUUUAACUUGAAGCUAAAAGGGCCAAAUUUUGUAAAGGUAAAAUGUAAUUCUUCUGCAGUUUAGAUUUUUUUUUUUCUAUUGUGCCUCUCCCACACCCUUUCUUUUUUCCCUACAGGAACCAGUUGAGUGCAGCUACUUUCACAAGAGGAAGCACGGGGGGGGGAAAAGAAAGAAAGCAAGUAGUAAACCUCCACCAGGGAGCAUGGUGGAGGCACAGGGUUUGUAGGAGACCUGUCAGGAAGCUUGACUCCUUCUGCUCACACAGGUUUGGCAUUUAAGCUAAUUUGUAAGCAUUUAGGGCCUGACUCUGAUCUUGCUUUCACCGCUCACUGGAGCUGUCAAAGCACUUCCCAGCAGAAGUAAGGUAGGGACCCUGCCAGCUGGAUUUGGCCCAUUCUCCACUCUUUUGUCUUGGUGGAUUUGGGCAUAAGUAGUUCUGACAAAACAGGGAGCCCCGUGUCCUAGCAUGAGUUGUGGUGCUGAUAGUGGAGCAUCUUCAGGGAUGUAGAAUCCCUCCAGAGAGGAUGCCCUCCUUAAGGCUGACAUACAGGGGAGGGUUUACACACUUCUCUUUUCCACCUUUAGGGCUCAGCUCAACUUUCCUUAUAUGUGUGGCCCUAAUCAUUAAUUGCCCGUCUUCUUUACCAAGGCUUUAUUCCUAUCUAUCCUUACUGUGGAUACCAGUGAGUCCAUUUCUAUCUCCCUAGGGGACACCAGCCCAAAUCACCACGAGCCAAAGACAGCACAAAAAUCCUAGUCAAUGAGGCCUGUUCCAAUGGCCAAUGAGGCUACUCCAGUGAGUUGCAUGGCCCCACUGAAGACCUCAUUUUCCAUGGGUGGCCGUGGCACAUCUGUUGAUGGCAACUUGAACAAGUCCACAGCAGUUAAGCAGUUUCAGGCUCAAACGUUGGUGUUCAAAGGCUUUGUUCUUAUUCCGAUGACUGAUAGAGGACCUCUGUUUGUGUUGAUGCUGUAGUCUUUUAAGCACGCUUUCCAGAAAGCUGUAGGUCUCUAUUUUGAGAGCAGAGCAGAGAUCCUGCUG